UUUUUUUUUUUUUCAAAUAAAAAAAAACGUUUUUAUAUUUGUCAUAGUCAUCACCUUAGCCUUAUCAAUUAUUAAAGCAAUCCACUCUUGUCCAUAUUUAUUUAUAUUUGCAGCAUCUCAGGAUCUGAAAUCCCGGGAAACGAUAACGUUUGAUUCUUUCCAAGGCAGAAAUGGAUGAGCUCAAGCUAAAACCAGCAAACUCGUGUCCUCUCACCCCAUUAACUUUCUUGGAAAGGGCAGCAACUGUCUAUGGUGAUUGCCCCUCUAUCAUCUACAACAACACCUCUUACACCUGGUCUCACACCCACCGUCGAUGUCUCCAGCUCGCUUCCUCUCUUUCAUCCAACGGCUUCACCCGCGGCCACGUCGUUUCCGUUAUUGCUCCCAAUACUCCCGCCAUGUACGAGCUUCAGUUCGCCGUUCCCAUGUCCGGUGCUGUCCUCAACAACAUCAACACUCGCCUGGACGCGCGUACCAUCUCCAUACUCCUGCGUCACAGCGAAUCAAAGCUCGUCUUCGUUGAUUGCUUGUCACGUGCUGUUAUCCUUGAAGCUAUCUCUUUGUUUCCACCUAACUCUCCACGUCCUGCCCUCGUCCUCAUCACCGAUGAUGAUCAGGCACCAGAGUUAUCAUCACCAUCAUCACUGACCGUUGAUUUUUGUUGUACGUACGAAAGCAUGGUGGAGAAGGGUGAUCCGGCGUUCAACUGGGUCCAGCCUCAAAGCGAGUGGGAUCCGAUGGUUUUGAACUAUACAUCAGGUACUACCUCAUCUCCUAAAGGUGUGGUACACUGCCACAGGGGGGUUUUCAUCGUAACCGUUGAAUCCCUGAUUGAUUGGAGUGUUCCAAGACAACCUGUUUAUUUGUGGACCCUUCCAAUAUUCCACGCCAAUGGAUGGAGCUACCCUUGGGGUAUAGCUGCGGUUGGUGGGACCAACAUCUGUCUUCGUAAAUUCGAUGGCCCUACUAUCUUCGGCAUGAUCAAGAGACACGGUGUCACUCACAUGUGUGGAGCACCUGUGGUGCUAAAUAUGCUAACUAACUCUCCCAAUAAUGAACCACUCAGGAACCCAGUCCAGAUUCUGACCGCUGGAGCUCCACCGCCAGCCACCGUGCUAUUCCGAACAGAGUCGCUGGGUUUCUUGGUGAGUCAUGGAUACGGGUUAACUGAAACGGGAGGACUCGUGGUGUCGUGUGCUUGGAAACCGAAGUGGAACCAGUUGCCAGCAAGCGAGAGAGCUAGACUAAAGGCAAGACAAGGAGUGAAGACUGCUGGGUUCACAGAGAUAGACGUGGUGGAUCCGAAGACAGGAGCCAGCGUGAAGAGAGAUGGGUUAUCAAUCGGCGAAAUAGUUCUGAGAGGUGGGUGUGUGAUGUUGGGUUAUCUCAAGGACCCAGAAGGCACGUCAAAAUGUUUGAAAGAUGAUGGUCGGUUCUAUACCGGAGACGUGGGGGUUAUGCACCCAGAUGGGUAUUUAGAGAUUAAAGAUCGAUCCAAAGAUGUGAUCAUUAGCGGUGGAGAGAACAUAAGCAGUGUGGAGGUUGAGUCUGUGUUGUACACCAAUCCGGCCGUGAAUGAGGCAGCUGUGGUGGCUCGACCAGAUGAGUACUGGGGGGAGACACCCUGUGCAUUUGUGAGUUUGAAAGAAGGGUUGAAUCAGAAACCAAGCGAGAAGGAUAUAAUUGAUUUUUGUAGGGAAAAAAUGCCGCAUUAUAUGGUGCCAAAAACUAUUGUGUUUAAAGAUGAAUUGCCUAAGACUUCAACUGGGAAGAUAAAGAAGUUUAUGCUGAGAGAAAUUGCCAAAUCCAUGGGGUCUUCAAGAGUGAGUCGAAUGUAGAGUUGAAUCGGCCGAGUUUGAGGUAGGGAUUUGAAUUUAUGUGGCAAUUGUGGUCUUGUCUUAUUUGUUCACAUUUUCAAACCAAUCGCUAUCUGAUGGUUGCGUACGUAAUUUGGCAUGCCAGAAUUAUUCUUAUGUUCUAAUGCAGAGAUCCAGUAGCUGUAGUUGAUGUGAUGAUAAGCUACUACCAAGUACCAAUUACCAUCAAUUGAUAAUUGUGCUUGUGAUAGGUUCAUCUCCCUUAAUAAUUCCACAAUAUCUAGUAUCAAUUUUUUUUAAAGAUAAU
rnacentral:misc_RNA from 1 species